rnacentral:rRNA from 1 species
AACGAACGCUGGCGGCAUGCCUAACACGUGCAAGUCGAACGAGACCUUCGGGUCUAGUGGCGCACGGGUGCGUAACGCGUGGGAACCUGCCCUUAGGUUCGGAAUAACUCCCCGAAAGGGGUGCUAAUACCGGAUAAUGUCUUCGGACCAAAGAUUUAUCGCCUUUGGAUGGGCCCGCGUUGGAUUAGCUAGUUGGUAGGGUAAAAGCCUACCAAGGCGACGAUCCAUAGCUGGUCUGAGAGGAUGAUCGGCCACACUGGGACUGAGACACGGCCCAGACUCCUACGGGAGGCAGCAGUGGGGAAUAUUGGACAAUGGGCGAAAGCCUGAUCCAGCAAUGCCGCGUGAGUGAUGAAGGCCUUAGGGUUGUAAAGCUCUUUUACCCGGGAUGAUAAUGACAGUACCGGGAGAAUAAGCUCCGGCUAACUCCGUG